CCAGACUCCUACGGGAGGCAGCAGUGGGGAAUAUUGCACAAUGGGGGAAACCCUGAUGCAGCAACGCCGCGUGAGUGAAGAAGUAUUUCGGUAUGUAAAGCUCUAUCAGCAGGGAAGAAGAAAGACGGUACCUGACUAAGAAGCCCCGGCUAACUACGUGCCAGCAGCCGCGGUAAUACGUAGGGGGCAAGCGUUAUCCGGAUUUACUGGGUGUAAAGGGAGCGUAGACGGCUGUGCAAGUCUGAAGUGAAAGCCCGUGGCUCAACCGCGGAACUGCUUUGGAAACUGUAUAGCUUGAGUACUGGAGAGGCAGGCGGAAUUCCUAGUGUAGCGGUGAAAUGCGUAGAUAUUAGGAGGAACACCAGUGGCGAAGGCGGCCUGCUGGACAGAAACUGACGUUGAGGCUCGAAAGCGUGGGGAGCAAACAGGAUUAGAUACCCGAGUA
rnacentral:rRNA from 1 species